AGUGGAAAAGGAGGAGCCAAAGAAAGAUACUGCGACGGUUUUGUACAUCGGGCACAUUCCUCAUGGGUUUUAUGAGGAACAGAUGGAAGGAUUCUUUAAGCAGUUUGGGAAAAUUAAGAGAUUGAGACUUGCUCGAAA